CUGUGCCGCUAUACGUUUGGUUCCCGAAGGCAGAAGCCAUAGGGAUCAAAAGGGAAUGCGACGGACGGACCCAUGCCGGGCGUCCUUAUCGCAGCCGACCCCGCGACUGUAGAGCGGAUAGGAUUCAUGCCAUUGCCCCAGGGCCGAAACCUGGGGCAGCCACUGGGAAACCGGGAAGGCGGCAUUGAUCCUGCGACCCGCGAGCCAGGAGACCUGCCGGACGUAAAGGGCAAUG
rnacentral:ncRNA from 1 species